AACGCACAUUGCACUCUUUGGCAUUCCAAAGAGUAUGUCUGUCUGAGUAUCAUUCUCUCUUUUACAAUAAAUUUUAUUUGUUGUACAGUUGUGCUCCUUUACCGCUGACUGGCUGGCUAGCUGGCUAGCUAGAGGCAAUGGCAUGAAAUGUAAUCUAAAAAAAAUAGUGUUUUGGUCCGCGGCGGACAGAGACAAUAUGCGUAAUCUACGUCUACGUCUAGUUUUAUUCUAUUGUCUUUCUCUGUCCACCCACCCACCGAUGCACCGUAAAAACUUUGAUCUCAGAUCAGACAAGACUACCCGCUGAACUUAA
rnacentral:misc_RNA from 2 species